rnacentral:rRNA from 1 species
UACGUAGGUGGCGAGCGUUGUCCGGACUUACUGGGUGUAAAGCGCGUGUAGGCGGGAGGCCAAGUCUGUGGUGAAAUCGCUCGGCUUAACUGGGCGGGGUCCAUGGAAACUGGUCACCUGGAGGUCGGUAGAGGCAAGUGGAAUUCCCGGUGUAGGGGUGAAAUGCGUAGAGAUCGGGAGGAACACCAGUGGCGAAGGCGGCUUGCUGGGCCGGACCUGACGCUGAGACGCGAAGGCGUGGGGAGCGAACGGG